rnacentral:lncRNA from 1 species
GCUGCUUUCCUGUUCCGGCCGGAGGAGGAUUCUGUGACUUGAUGGGUGGGCCCUCUGCUGCUCUGGGUGUGGCUGCAUACACCCCGGGGGUCAACAGGGACGAGCGGUACAGCGGCUGGGUUGCUCUCUACCCGGUCUUCGUCCAAGCCCCUCCACAGCUGGUAAGAUCUCCGGAGCAGGACCUGCAAGCCCUCUUCAGAUCACCCCAGAACUUCCUGUCUAAAAACUGAAGCCUCUCACUGCCCAGGCAUGGCUUCUUGCUACCCUGCCCUCAGGCACAGUCCUGCACCCACCUGCGUCUGCUGUGCCAUGUCCAGGCCAGUCCCCCCCCACCACCAACACCUCUCUCUAUCUUCAUCCUCUUCCCAAUCUGGUCCUCCCACCGCUGUGGAAACCCCGUCUGCCCCCAAAGCCUAGCUUAAAAAUAAUUCCCUAGGGACCUGUGUCUCUCCCUGCCUCGGCCCCUCCUUCAUUCCUGGGUGCCUCCGGCUGUGCAGCAUUUGACACUGCAGCACCCCCCUUAAUUCGGAAGCAUGCUGUCUCCUGGACUGGUGAGUCUCCACACUAUCUGAGCCGUCUUCUCUGGAACUCUUGGCCUCUCAGUCCGUUCUGAGAAUACAGCCUUGGUAAGCACGGUGCCCACAUGAAUGUUUCCAGCAGCAGGAUUCAAAAUAGCCACAUGUCCAUCAACAGAUGAGUGGAUAAACAAAACAUGGUCCAGAAUAAUGGAAGAUUACUCAGCCCUAAAAAGAGACGAAGCUGGUGAACCUCGAGAACACGAGGCCGCGUGAACGAAGCCAGACACCGAGGACCACGUAGCGUGAGACUCUCAGUCUAUGAAAUGUGCGGAGUCGAUAAAUUCACAGAGACAGAAAGGAGAUUCACGGUUGCCAGGGGCUGGGGAGUGACAACAGAGGGAUGGGGGUGACUGUGAAAGGGUACGUGGUUUCUUUCCCAGAGGAUAAGAACGUUCUAACAUGGCCUGUCCUGUUGGCUUCACAGCUC